GAUCAUGGCUCAGGAUGAACGCUGACAGAAUGCUUAACACAUGCAAGUCUACUUGAACUUCGGUUUGGGUGGCGGACGGGUGAGUAACGCGUAAAGAACUUGCCUCACAGUUAGGGACAACAUUUGGAAACGAAUGCUAAUACCUGAUAUUAUGAUUUUAGGGCAUCCUAAGAUUAUGAAAGCUAUAUGCGCUGUGAGAGAGCUUUGCGUCCCAUUAGCUGGUGGAGUAACGG
rnacentral:rRNA from 1 species